GAUGAACGCUGGCGGCGUGCCUAAUACAUGCAAGUCGAGCGAACAGAUGAUGAGCUUGCUCCUCUCACGUUUGCGGCGGACGGGAGAGUCACACGUGGAUAACCUACCUAUCUGACUGAGAUAAUUUCGGGAAACCGGCGCUAAUACCGGAUAAUAUACUGCACCGUAUGGUUCAAUAGUGAAAUACGGUUUUGCUGUAGGUUGGGGCUGGAUGCGCGCCGCAUUAGCUUGUUGGUGCGGUAGUGGCAUACCAAGGCUACGAUGGGUAGCCGGCCUGAGAGGGUGACCGGCCACAGUGGGAAGGAGAUACGGCCCAGACUCCUACGGGAGGCAGCAGUGGGGAAUAUUGCACAAUGGGCGGAAGCCUGAUGCAGCAACGCCGCGUGCGGGAUGACGGCCUUCGGGUUGUAAACCGAUUUCGCCUGUGACGAAGCGUGAGUGACGGUAAUGGGUAAAGAAGCACCGGCUAACUACGUG
rnacentral:rRNA from 1 species